AGUCGAGGGGUAACAGGGAAGCUUGCUUCCGCUGACGACCGGCGCACGGGUGCGUAACGCGUAUGCAACCUACCUCUUACAGGGGAAUAGCCCGAAGAAAUUCGGAUUAAUACCCCAUGGUAUUACAGAUUCGCAUGAUGAAGUAAUUAAAGAUUUAUCGGUAAGAGAUGGGCAUGCGUCUGAUUAGAUUGUUGGUGAGGUAACAGCUCACCAAGUCGACGAUCAGUAGGGGUUCUGAGAGGAAGAUCCCCCACACUGGCACUGAGAUACGGGCCAGACUCCUACGGGAGGCGGCAGUAGGGAAUAUUGGUCAAUGGAGGCAACUCUGAACCAGCCAUGCCGCGUGUAGGAAGAAUGCCUUCUGGGUUGUAAACUACUUUUAUAUAGGAAGAAAACGCCAUGCGUGGUAAUAUGACGGUACUAUAUGAAUAAGCACCGGCUAACUCCGUGCCAGCAGCCGCGGUAAUACGGAGGGUGCAAGCGUUGUCCGGAUUUAUUGGGUUUAAAGGGUGCGUAGGCGGUUUAUUAAGUCGGAGUUGAAAUCCCACAGCUUAACUGUGGAACUGGCUCCGAUACUGGUUAACUUGAGUAUGGUUGAGGUAGGCGGAAUUUAAGAUGUAGCGGUGAAAUGCAUAGAUAUCUUAAAGAACACCAAUUGCGUAGGCAGCUUACUGGACCAUAACUGACGCUGAGGCAC
rnacentral:rRNA from 1 species